rnacentral:ribozyme from 13 species
UCUUUCUCCUUUUUUUUUUUUUUCGUUCGUUUUUUUUUUUUUCCCUGUUUUUGGUGGGUCUGUCGUGAUGAAGUUGAGCUUGGGGGCAGCCAAAAAGAAGAAA